CUGCGCUUGGAUAAUGCAAAGGGAAUCUUUUGAAUACAAGCUAUUUCAAGAUACCCAUGUAUAUCUUCCAAGAAUAUAAUAUAUAUUCUUAUGAUAAGAAAUAGCAUCCUGGAAGGUAAAAAUAAUUUAAACAGAGGAUCAACAAAUUCUGAAUGCAGAAAGAAGAAAAGAUUAAGUAAGAUAAUAUAUCGCAAUGAUAAUGCCAUCACAAGAGCUACACAUCCUCUGCUGGUAUGUGUUUUGAGGAGAACAUGGGUCUGAAAAGACUUUAGAGACAAAAGAAUGAUCUGAUAAUUAUGCAUUAGGCAAAAUUAAUAAGCAGGGUAAUUUAUUUUCUUGAUCGGAAGAGAAGAUUUACAAAGAAUUUGAUCAUGGCCCAAGUAUUUGUACACAGGAAAGCAUGUUCUUGUGUACUCUAGUCUUCAAAAAGCAAAAGCAUCACCAUGUGAUUUCUGACUUUCUGGAUUUCAGAACCAGUAUUUGAGUUGAUCUGAACAAGAGUACUUCAUAAAGGCGUAAAAUCAGACAUACAUUGAGAUCAUUUAGAAGGAGAUACAGCUCUUCUAAGCCAUGUCGUUCAACAUUUUUGCCAAAGCAUAAUUGUCUGGAAUAUCCACUUAUGUAUUAAAACAGAACUUUAAAUUAGUUGCAUUCUGCCAAGUAAUCUAAAGGUUUU